rnacentral:lncRNA from 1 species
UUUCUGCCUUCAGGUUUGGUUUUCCUACCAAUGAUCCGGACAGGUCGUCCCUCCACUGUAAGGUGUUCUCUCAAGUCAGAUGGUGGUUCUGAAACCACAUUGUCUUGAUUCCUUAAGUAUUUUCGCAGCAAGGAUACAUGGAACACGUUAUGGAACUGAGCCAUCGAUGAAGGCAGUUCCAGUUUGUAAGCGACCUUUCCAAUCCUUUCCAGGAUCUUAUACGGCCCCAUGUAUCUUGGACUCAGCUUGGCAUUCUUUGAGGAUCGGUCCUUGCCUUUGUAGGUGACGGUUUUGAGAUAUACCAUGUCCCCUACUUCAAACUCAAGCUCUUUUCUGCGUCUGUCUGCAUAACUCUUCUGCCUGUCCUGAGACUCUUUCAUCUUCAGUUUCAAGACUCGGAUUCUUUCAGUUGUCUCCUCCACAAAGUCUCGGCCAAAUAUGCUGCGCUCCCCCACUUGGGUCCAGCAUAGCGGUGUCCUACACGGACGUCCAUACAAUGCCUCGUAAGGAGACAUUCCAAUACUUGCAUGAUAGCUGUUGUUGUAUGAGAACUCGGCCAGAUGCAAGUAUUGAUCCCAUUUGUCUCCCCAAUCCAGAACACAAGAUCGCAGCAAGUCUUCAAGUGUUCGGAUUGUCCUUUCUGAUUUUCCAUCCAUUUGCGGAUGAUAUGCUGUACUCAUAUGGACCUUGGUCCCCAUCGACUUCUGCAUCGCCCUCCAAAAGGCUGAAUAAAACUUGGAGUCUCGGUCUGACACUAUGCUUACCGGAACUCCAUGAAGUCUGACGAUCUGUUCCACAUAUAACUUGGUUAGCACUGCUGCAUUGUCUGUCUUGUUGAUUGCCAAGAAAUGCGAAGAUUUGGUCAAUCUGUCCACUAUCACCCAGAUAGCGUCCUUGCCAUUUCUCAUUGGCAAGCCAGUCACGAAGUCCAUCGUGAUCAUAUCCCACUUCCAUUCUGGAAUGGGUAAACUCUGAAGUAGUCCGCUCGGAACUUGAUUUUCUGCCUUAACCAUCUGGCAGAUUGGGCACCCAGCUACCCAUUUUGCAACAUCACGCUUCAUUCCAACCCAAUGAUAGUAUCUCUUCAAGUCUCAGUACAUCUUGUUGGCUCCUGGAUGUAUCGAAAACUUAGACUGAUGUGCUUCUUUUAGGAUCUCAUCCCGCAAUCCUUUGUCAUUAGGAACACAAACCUGGCCAUUAACCAAAAUCGUCCCAUUGUUUGAAGUCUGAUACUCUGUCUUCUCAUUCUUUGAAGCUUUGAUCAGAUCAUCAUCCUUUUCCUGAGCAAGGCGAACUCUGGACAACAAGUCAGCCUGAUCCGCUGCACCAAGACCCAACGGUUCCACUUCGUCGGUCAAGGCAGCUAAUCGUAAGGUUCCCACCAUGUGAACCAGUUCCUGCAUGUCUUUCUCUGAAGCUGAAGCUACUCUCUUCCUGCUCAAGGCAUCCGCGACUAGAUUUGCCUUUCCCGGAUGGUAGGCAAUAUCCAAGUCAUAAUCCGCGCAACCAGUUCCAUCCACCGCCUCUGCCUAAGGUUCAGCUCUGGUUGAGUGAAGAUAUACUUCAAACUCUUAUGAUCCGUGAAGACUUGGACCUGGGCACCAUAGAGGUAAGAUCGCCAUAUCUUCAACGCAAACACGACAGCAGCCAUUUCUAAGUCGGGACAACAAGUCAGCCUGAUCCGCUGCACCAAGACCCAACGGUUCCACUUCGUCGGUCAAGGCAGCUAAUCGUAAGGUUCCCACCAUGUGAACCAGUUCCUGCAUGUCUUUCUCUGAAGCUGAAGCUACUCUCUUCCUGCUCAAGGCAUCCGCGACUAGAUUUGCCUUUCCCGGAUGGUAGGCAAUAUCCAAGUCAUAAUCCGCAGCACCAGUUCCAUCCACCGCCUCUGCCUAAGGUUCAGCUCUGGUGAGUGAAGAUAUACUGACCUGGCACCAUAGAGGUAAGAUCGCCAUAUCUUCAACGCAAACACGACAGCAGCCAUUUCUAAGUCGUGUGUUGGAUAGUUUCCUUCGUGUUUCCUCAGCUGUCUAGACGCAUACGCGAUCACUUUGCCUUGUUGCAUCAGAAAACACCCAAGUCCAACUUUGGAUGCAUCUGUAUAGACCACAUAUGGCUCGUUGUCCAUUGGAAGAGCCAAUACUGGAGUAGUGGUCAACAUCUCCUUGAGUUUGCUGAAACUCACUUCACAGUUUUCUGUCCACACAAACUGAACAUCUUUCCCAGUCAACUUUGUCAACGGCUGAGCCAUGCUAGUAAAUCCCUUAACAAAACGCCGGUAGUAUCCAGCCAGUCCGAGAAAACUCCUGAUCUCCGUUGGGUUCCUUGGUCUUGGCCAGUCCGCAAUGGCUUUGAUUUUUUCUUGUCCGACACCACAUGACCCAAAAAACCAAUUUCUUUUUGCCAGAAACUGCAUUUGCUAAGCUUGGCGUACAGCUUAUGUUCCCGCAGUUUAUCCAAACCAUUCUCAAGUGUUGCUCGUGAUCUUUCUGAUUCUUUGAGUAGAUCAAGAUGUCGUCUAUGAAGACAAUAACGAAUUCAUCCAGGUAGUCUCUAAAAAGUUAUUCAUCAUCUUCAUAAACGCUGCAGGGGCGUUGGUCAGUCCGAAGGGCAUGACCACGAACUCGUAGUGGCCAUAUCUUGAUCUGAAAGCUGUCUUACGGAUAUCCUCUUCAGCAAUCGGAAUCUGAUGGUAUCCCGAAGCUAAAUCAAUCUUUGAGAACAAGUAGCACCUCGGAGUUGGUCCAAUAACUCAUCUAUCCUUGGGAGAGGGUACUUGUUCUUCACUGUGACUCUGUUAAUCCCCCUGUAGUCGAUGCAUAGUCUGAAGCUACCAUCUUUCUUCUUCACGAACAAGACUGGUGCACCCCAAGGCGAGCUGCUUGGUCGCACAAAUCCUUUCUCCACCAACUCAUCCAACUGUUUCUUCAGUUCCGACAUUUCAGCCGGAGCCAUCCGAUACGGAGCUUUUGAGAUUGGUGUUGUACCCGGCUCAAGCUCAAUCGUGAAAGGAUCAGAACGGUCCGGUGGUAAUCCUGUCAAGGAUUCGAACACGUCAUCAUACUCCUUUACAAUCGGAAUCCCUUCCAUUCAGCAUCAGGUCCGACUUCCACAGUCGUGAUUGAAGCCAGAUAGGCCUCACACCCUUUUUCCAGCAUUCGUUCUGCUUGAAGUGCUGAAAUGAUCAGACUCCCAUUGGUCGGUCUGACCCCUUGAUAGACAAGCUUUCCAUUGCCGAUUUCAAACUGAACUCGGCCACGAUGACAAUCAAGAUGUGCCUUGUAUUUACUCAGCCAAUCCAUUCCAAGGAUCACAUCGUAUGAUUUCACUGGGCAAAUGACCAAGUCGGCUGGCAUGUUUACUCCCCCGAUCAUCACAGAGACGUUUCGGAUUUUUCCUGAAGUGUACAUGAUCUGACCACCAGCCGCCCGAACCGGUCUUACUUCUUCUUCUUCUUUCUGAAAUUCUCCAAUUCUAAUCAUCUCAGGUUGCACAUGAAUCAAACAGAACAUGGGCUGCCACUCCACCCAUGACUAAGGUCCCUACAUAUUCACCCGGAACACUAAGGACCUACUCUACAGACAAGCAAUUUCACACAGAAAUUCUUAAGGCAAAGGUGAGAGAUAGGAUGACUCACCAGUGAUCGGACGAGACGUGCUUGGGUCCGACGACUCAUCACCAAUGGUUUCCACCCGCGACAUGAUGGCCUGCCUCUUCGCAGCCGGCUGAGGCCCAUCACUCGGACGCUUCCCAGCAGAUUGUGCGUCCUUUGGACACUUAUUCUUGAAGUGUCCAGUUUCCCCGCAGUUGUAGCACACGCGUUCCCCAGUGCUCCUGUUCUGGCUCUUCGGCCUUUGAUCUUCUUCAGGACAAUCCCGCACCUUGUGAUCCAUACUUCCACAACGGUGACAAGCUCCCGUAGCAGCACGGCACACACCAGAGUGCAUCUUCCCACAAGUCGAACACGCACUGCGACUGGUUGCAUUCGGCUUGCUGGAAGUGCCAGACUUCACCACCUUUUGAUUCUUCCCCGCAUGCUUACCAGGAUGGACAUGUGCCACUGAGCCAAACACUUUGGCUUCCUCCGCGCAUGAAUUUACGGAGAUCAUAGUUGCGGAUCUUACAACGAGUUCGGAGAUCAACCCUAAGUCCGCGCAUGAAUUUACGGACCAAGGAUAUCUCAGACUCUGCCUCACGCCCAGCAUACUUCUUGAGGCUGUUGAACUCUACUUCAUAUUCCCUUACAGACAUAGAUCCCUGUUCCAGUCUGAGGAAAGCUCCCUCAAGUUGGUCAAAUGCUUCCGGCGGAAAGUACUUCGCACGGAACUCGGCCUUAAAAUUGGCCCAGGUGCACUGAUCCUCACCAAUCCGGGCAGCAACACCUCGCCACCAGGUGUGCGCAUCACCGUCCAAGUAGUGGACAGCAAUGUCCUUCUUGUAAGCAAGAGGACAACGGAUCGACAUAAAGUUCCGGCCUAUCCUGUCAAUCCAUUGAUCUGCUUCCACUGGUUUGGAACCACCCGAAAAGAACUUGGUUCCCAGUUUCUGCAUGUGGUCCAUGACCUUGAGAUAAGACGGAUUCCUAGCAACGUGUGCAUCUUCUCCAUCUUGCACCACUUGCUCCGCCUCGUCCACAACAGGUGAAACCACUGGAGGUGCCGCCACAGCAGGCAGCCUUGCCAAGACUUGUGCCAACAUAGCCAGCACAGCUUCCAAUCCAACAGCUCCCGCAGCAGCACCAGCGGCUGCAGCAUUGUUCACAUUUGCUGCAUUCUGAGCAGCAUUCCGAGCCUCUUCCGUACCAGCUUCAUUCCUGGCCACGUUGCUCGCAGACCCCUCACCAGUCUCAUUCACAGUCCUUCUUGGAUUACGGUUACUUUUUGCCAUCUGCAAUCAGAUCACAGGCAAGUUAGUCAAAACUAACUUGGGAUCAGGACACGGAACACAGAAUUUACCACGAGAUGUCAGGCUUGGAAGGAUGGUUUGCCCCAAUAACCCACUAUACUUAGAUUGUCCUAGAACCGACUCCGCUCUGAUACCACUUGAAAGGACCCGACCCAUUUUUUCGUACCAUCAGUACGAGUCUGGCUCGACUUCCUCGAUCAGACUUGGGCCGUUUUCCUAAUUUCUUUACUUAGAAUUAUUUCCGAGUUUUAGUUCGUUUUCAGACAAUCAAAAGCAAGCAUAAUAAGAUUUGAAUAGAUUAAGUGAGGUUCGAGUUAACAAGUGAGUUUGCUAUAAGCUAUUACAAGUUAAACUCGUCCUACAUCUACCCAAAUCCCCCAUCCUUCCUUCCUGCCUUAGUCCCGCGGUCAAGCUAUGUCUUUACCCUUACGGGUCUGGUCCUGAUCUGCAUCCAAAACAAGGAGGCAUAAGCAACAGUUUGCUUAGUGAUGCGGUCAUCCCGUCUCACUCAGCCAUGUAAAGCAAUCGAGUCAAUCAAUCAGUAAACGGACAUGCUUAUCAUCAGUCAGUUACUUAGCCGACCCAAUCGUCCCAAGCCAACGCGCCAUCAGAUUCAGACAAGCCCUAGCAGGCCAUUACGGCUCUAGGCGCAUGUUCUGAUCCAGAUGCGUCGAUGGAAGGAACCGACUGUUCGGACCAAGCCAGAACUUAGCAGAUAAUUCGAAUUAGACAAGCAAUCAGUACAUAGAACAUUCCUAUCAUUCAGACUACGAUUCAGUACGAUAGGCUACGGUCACGCACUCACCUUUGUCUUAGAGUCGGUAUGUUCUGUUUGAUUCGGUCUCUUCUGACACCUCUUGAGCGGUUUCCGUCGGAUCUUCGAACGUUCAGACAGUCGGAAUCACCCCACAGACGAUCGUUCUUGACUCGGACUUGAUCAAUCCAGCCAAAUAUCGAAAGUUCUCUCUUUAUCGGACUUUUCUCUCUCUGAGUUCUUCUUUGGUUCUUUCUUUCUGUUUCCCGUACAGAAAUGGCGAAAUAAGACCAAGGAGACGAUUAAAAUGGGCAGUUGGGCGGUUUAGGCCCGAGAAACUGCAAAGAUAACUGUUCCCGCUUAUUUUACACGCGGCUCUUUGUCCAUAACCGCCACCCCGCGCUCCAAAGCAUGUCAGCGCGAGUUUUUCCCCUUUUCGGACCUUAACUGUUCCCGCCAGUUUUACUUAGACAAAACUCGAGCUGAAGCUGACUGAUGCAGUCGACAACUCUAACCGCCUUGUCCAAUCAGACCAAUACUACUGAAUCAGCUCAUCUCAGCUUAGCCGACAGUCUUAACUGCCUUGUCUGAUUUCCGACAAUCUCUGUCUAGCCGACCAGCUCAACCGUCAUGUCCGAAUCCGAUAGCACUUGUCCGGAUCCGACCAUUGCUGUCCGAAAAUACCGCUUUGCCUGGAUUUUCAUCGAACUGGCCGAACACUACUGAGUUCCGCAAAUCGAACGGCCUGGUCCAAUAACCCGAGCGUAAGACCGACUGAUGGAGCUUUGUUGGCUCAAAAACAGAUCAGAUCCUAUCUUUAUUCGGGUACAUGGUUCCGCUCCAUCCACUACUAAUCAGACUUCCGAACCAAGAACUCCCAUCCACCCACGGUAAGUCCUUACAACUUUGGCCAGCUCUUUCUAGCAUCAUCAAACCCAUUCAGUACGUUCCAACAGUCCGGCCAGUCAGUCCUCAGAUCAUCCUAUCAUCGAUCUUCGGAACACGGUCGCUACACAGAGCCCGCGUUGACCUUUUAUCUAAUAAAUGCAUCCCUUCCAGAAGUCAGGGUUUGUUGCACAUAUUAGCUCUAGAAUUACUAUCCGAGUAGUAGUUACCAUCAAACAAACUAUAACUGAUUUAAUGAGCCAUUCGCAGUUUCACAGUCUGAAUUCGUUCAUACUUACACAUGCAUGGCUUAAUCUUUGAAAGUGGGAACAGAUGCUGACUUGACCGUCAUAUUCCCGCAAAUACAUGGAAAGUGGGAACAGACGCUGACUUGACCGUCAUCUUUUGUCCGGAGACAAACGUGCUUAGCGGGACCGAAUUUCUUCGAGUCACCGCCAUAAUAUUUCCGCAACCGAGAUCUCAGCAAACAGCUUAUUCACCUUUGCGAACAAUGCAUAAACUAUGCAAAGACGCAAGGAUCACAAGUGCCGGCUUAUGUGUUCACGACUUCCCCAAUGAAGGAGAUGCCGGAAACAAUAUUUUAAGCAAAAGCUUAACAAUUCCUUCCAGAUAGGUACGCAACACAGGCCCCGGAUCAGUUCAACAAGCAUAAAACUAUGCUAGUGAAGAAACUGAGGAGGAUAGUUGGUAUGUAGUUGGGUGCGCAAGCACAGAGCCUACAAACACUAGCUAUCCAAUCACCACUCAUACGCCGAAUGUUCAUUUGCCCCGCUAACAUCAAUCUUUCCAACCACUCUUGAGAUGUAAUCAAAAAAGAAACUGGAAGACGGAUGAAACCAGGCCAAGACCAUGCAAGCGCGAAAAUUUGAAGUUAGGGGCAAAACGGUCCACCGGAAAAUUCGCCGGAAAAGUUCCCGGAAAAUUCACCAGGGACA